rnacentral:rRNA from 1 species
AGUUGUAUCCUGGCUCAGAACGAACGCUGGCGGCAGGCCUAAUACAUGCAAGUCGAGCGCGCCCUUCGGGGUGAGCGGCGGACGGGUGAGUAACGCGUGGGAAUAUGCCCUUCUCUAAGGAAUAGCCUCUGGAAACGGAGAGUAAUACCUUAUACGCCCUUCGGGGGAAAGAUUUAUCGGAGAAGGAUUAGCCCGCGUUAGAUUAGGUAGUUGGUGGGGUAAUGGCCUACCAAGCCUACGAUCUAUAGCUGGUUUGAGAGGAUGAUCAGCCACACUGGGACUGAGACACGGCCCAGACUCCUACGGGAGGCAGCAGUAGGGAAUCUUAGACAAUGGGGGCAACCCUGAUCUAGCCAUGCCGCGUGUGUGAUGAAGGCCUUAGGGUCGUAAAGCACUUUCGCCAGAGAUGAUAAUGACAGUAUCUGGUAAAGAAACCCCGGCUAACUCCGUGCCAGCAGCCGCGGUAAUACGGAGGGGGUUAGCGUUGUUCGGAAUUACUGGGCGUAAAGCGCACGUAGGCGGAUUAGUAAGUUAGAGGUGAAAUCCCAGGGCUCAACCCUGGAACUGCCUUUAAUACUGCUAGUCUUGAGUUCGAGAGAGGUAAGUGGAAUUCCGAGUGUANA